CAUUGUAUGCAUCACAUUAAUCAUUUCACAUAGGCAGACAUUUAAAAAAAACUUGGGUAAUUUUAAAACAAAGAUGCAUCAUCUUAAACUCAAUAAUAAUACAACUGUAUCUUGUAAAGCAGGCUUAAUUCAUACAAACUCUGUCCCCAAACAGAGUAUUUAUAAAAUCCUUAGAUGUUUGUUUCUCUGUAUUGUUUUGUCCCCUCUAGUGACUUUUCCCAUGGGUGUGUACAUAUAUAAUGUUGUAAUUAAUCUUAUUCAACAGCUGAUACACACAGGGUGUUUUCUAUUUCAUAUUUGUAUUGUAUAGUUGGCUAAAUGUAUUAUAUAGUUAGUCUGAACUGUGUUUUGCACCUCAGGACACAUCCAGUACAGUUUUGCUUUUGUCUGAAAGGUGGGGGUUGCUACUUUUGUUUUACUUUACUUUAGUACGACCAGCUCCCUCCCUUUUUUUGCUCCCUUCUACUAGCUUUUGUAAAUGCUGUGGGGUUUUCAUGUUUUUAAUUUCAGACUUAAAAAAACUCCUCCUGAAUGAUAAAGAUACUCUGUCCCCCAAAUGCUUGACAAAUUGUUACAGCCACAAAAACUAAAUACAAAUAAUACCUGAGGGAGUGUGAGAAAAAUGAAGUAGUCCAAGAAAGGAACAAAAAAGGACGCAUUCAGAUGGGACUUGAAAAUGGGUGGAGUUGAAGCAGUGAGAAAAAGGACUGUUCUAGCAAGGAGGAGCUGGAAUGAAAAAGGGUGUUGCACCACUAAUAAUGAAAAUGCAAGGAGGAUGGUGCUACAUGAGAGGAAGGAAAGCAGUGGAUAUAGAAAAAAAGAAAGAAAGAAAAGGGACAACAUGCUGCUGCCAGGUAAGGAUGCUCUAAGUUUGGCUGGAUUCUUCAAUUAGGGCAUUCUUCCCAACAAUGAAGGAAUCACCAGGGAGGAUAGGUAGGCUUAGAUAACUCAUCUUACUAUGCUAGGAGUCGCUGCCACAGGUAUACUAUGCUCUAUGCUCCAGUGCUCAGUGACUGCUGGACUGGCCCCUUGAAACUUUUGUUAGCCAGCAUCAUAUACAGUAGCUCUAAAACUGCUGUAAGUUGUGUCCUGGUGCUGGCCUGGUGCCCGCUAGCAUGGGGCUAGCAAAGCUAAAAUGAUGGCUUUCAGCUUUACAUACACCCUUAAUUUUGAGGGCUGUCUGCCAAAAGUUAAACAGCUGAUCCAAAGGAUUUGGCCUGUAGUCUAUGGGAAAAGCUGGGUCCAGUUAUGAGAUACAUUUAAAUCAAGAAAUACAAACAUGAACUACAGCUUGUUAAAAAUGUAUAUGUAUUAAAAGCACUUGUACUGAAGAGCAAUAUUUAUGUUUUACCUGUGGUUGGCAUAUACUUCCAACUCCAUUAGCCUUGGCUUGACUGUAACAGCACCAAAGUGGAAGACAAAUACAUUCUUCCCUGUCCCUCAGUAGUUGGUGACAAAACCACUGGCUGAAUUGGGGGUUGAAUUGCUGUGCCCUUGAAAACCCAGGCUGCAGUAGUUCUCUCCAUUAUCUAGCACCGAAGAGGCAUUGUGACUUUUAAAAAAAUACCUGACACCACCUCUGUGGCUGUAUUUCCUCCCACACUGUCAUGUAGCUCUGCUUCAAGAGAUCCAUUCACUGAGAAAAUAAUGUUCUGAAGUAUAUUUAAUAUAUUAGCCUUGAGAAUAUUAUACCAGCUUCCACCAAGCAAUGAAAGUAAAUUAUAACACCUGGAAGGAAAGGUUUUUGACUAACUGAACAUAAACCACCAGGUCUUAAGAAAAUAUUCAUAACCUCCAAUCUAGCUUAUUCAAGCACAACCAGAAGAUACUGUUCUAAAGUCCUGUUCUAAUCAGCUGUGCUACCUUUUUGGUUUAGAAGUGUUUCAUAUUCACUUUGCUGUGGUAUAAAUAAUUAUGCCCCACAGCAGAUCAGGACAAUGGAGAAUCACAUGCAACAACCUCUAAGGCCCCUCUGCACAUUACACUUAAGUAUAAUUACACCAGUUAAUCACACUUUAAGUUGUGACCCAGCUACACAUUCAACCAGUUAAUGGAAUGAUAAAACGAACUAUA